rnacentral:rRNA from 1 species
CAGCCGCCACGGUAACACGUAGGGUGCGAGCGUUAAUCGGAAUUACUGGGCGUAAAGCGUGCGCAGGCGGUUGUGUAAGACAGGUGUGAAGUCCCCGGGCUUAACCUGGGAACUGCGCUUGUGACUGCACAGCUAGAGUAUGGCAGAGGGGGGUGGAAUUCCACGUGUAGCAGUGAAAUGCGUAGAGAUGUGGAGGAACACCGAUGGCGAAGGCAGCCCCCUGGGCCAAUACUGACGCUCAUGCACGAAAGCGUGGGGAGCAAACAGGAUUAGAUACCCCUGUAGUCCCUGUCUCUUAUAC